rnacentral:tRNA from 1 species
GGUUGACCUGGUGGAUGCCUUCGGCCUGUUCGCGGCUGGCGGUGCUGAUCUCGCCCACCAGCGCGUGCGUGCCGCGCACGCUGUCCACCA